UUAUUUUAUUUUGGUUAAUGUUUUUAUUAUUAUUUUAUUUUACAUGUAAAUUUUUGAAAGAAUUAUGUUAUUUUUAAAAAAAAUAAUAAUUUAUUUUAUUCGCAGUAAUUAAUAUUAAUUAAAAAAAGAAAUUUUGUAUUAGUAAUAAUAUAUAAUAUUGGUAAAAUUUGUGCCAGCUACCGCGGUUAUACAAAUAAUAUAAAUAAAAAUUUUUAGCAUUAGUUAAAUUAUUAUAAUUUGUUUAAUAUAAAUAUAAAUUUAUUAGGUGAAAUUUAUAAAUUUAUUUAUUUAUUAAUUUUUAAUUAAUUUAAGCUAUAAACUUUUUGUAAUAAACUAGGAUUAGAUACCCUAUUAUUGAAAAUAAAUAUUGUAAAUGUUAAAGUAGUAUUAGUUAUAUUCUUAAAAUUUAAAAAAUUUGGCGGUGAUUUAGUCUAUUUAGAGGAAUCUGUCCUGUAAUUGAUAAUCCACAUUGAACCUUACUUAAAUUAAUUUAAUUUGUAUAUCGCCGUCAUCAGAAUAUGUUAUAAGAUAAAAAUUUUCUUAAUAUUUUAUUAAAUAAAAUGUCAGGUCAAGGUGCAGUUUAUAUUUAAGUAGAGAUGGAUUACAAUAAAUUUAUUUAAACGAAUAUUUUUUUGAAAUUAAAAAUUGAAGGCGGAUUUAAUAGUAAUGUAAAAUAGAUUAUUUACGUGAUUUUAGCUCUAAAUCAUGCACAUAUCGCCCAUCGUUCUUAUUUUUAAAAUAAGAUAAGUUGUAACAUAGUAGAUGUACUGGAAAGUGUAUCUAGAAAGA
rnacentral:ncRNA from 1 species